GCCUGGCUAGCUCAGUCGGUAGAGCAUGAGACUCCUAAUUUCAGGGUUGUGAGAUCGAGCCCCUCACUGAGUG
rnacentral:tRNA from 1 species